AACGAACGCUGGCGGCAUGCCUAACACAUGCAAGUCGAACGAAGUCUUCGGACUUAGUGGCGCACGGGUGCGUAACGCGUGGGAAUCUGCCCUUGGGUGCGGAAUAACUUCUCGAAAGGGAUGCUAAUACCGCAUAAUGUCGUAAGACCAAAGAUUUAUCGCCCAAGGAUGAGCCCGCGUAAGAUUAGCUAGUUGGUGGGGUAAAAGCCUACCAAGGCGACGAUCUUUAGCUGGUCUGAGAGGAUGAUCAGCCACACUGGGACUGAGACACGGCCCAGACUCCUACGGGAGGCAGCAGUGGGGAAUAUUGGACAAUGGGCGAAAGCCUGAUCCAGCAAUGCCGCGCGAGUGAUGAAGGCCCUAGGGUUGUAAAGCUCUUUUACCAGGGAUGAUAAUGACAGUACCUGGAGAAUAAGCUCCGGCUAACUCCGUGCCAGCAGCCGCGGUAAU
rnacentral:rRNA from 1 species